rnacentral:piRNA from 1 species
UGGAUUUGUGAGUACCUUUUCUCGGCGUC